rnacentral:ncRNA from 1 species
GAAAAGGUAGAGAAGAAGAGGAGUACGCUUAUAACCCUGAAAGAGAAAACCGUCCACCGGCUGAAAGACGGUUAAGGAAGUAUAUGCGGAAGGUAGCUUCAGAACCGGAAGGCUGAAAUUUUAAGAUCCAGAUUCAGUAGGCUUUCACGCUUGGCUGCGUUACAGGCUGCAUGAGGUAUGGCUGUUCUGCCAUAUGAAUAAAGGUGGUACCGCGUUGAUUCGCCCUUUGC